rnacentral:rRNA from 1 species
CUUUAUACAUGCAAGUCGAACGGAGGCCCUAGCUUGCUAGGUGUCCUUAGUGGCGCACGGGUGAGUAACACGUGGGAACAUACCUUAUAGUACGGAAUAACUGCGGGAAACUGUAGCUAAUACCGUAUACUCCAGUAAUGGGAAAGAUUUAUCGCUAUAAGAUUGGCCCGCGCAAGAUUAGCUUGUUGGUGAGGUAAAAGCUCACCAAGGCUUCGAUCUUUAGCUGGUUUGAGAGGACGAUCAGCCACACUGGGACUGAGACACGGCCCAGACUCCUACGGGAGGCAGCAGUAGGGAAUAUUGGACAAUGGGGGCAACCCUGAUCCAGCAAUGCAGCGUGAGUGACGAAGGCCUUAGGGUUGUAAAACUCUUUCAUCGGUGAGGAUAAUGACAGUAGCCGAAGAAGAAGGACCGGCUAAUUCCGUGCCAGCAGCCGCGGUAAUACGGAAGGUCCUAUCGUUGUUCGGAAUUACUGGGCGUAAAGCGCAUGUAGGCGGAACAGAAAGUUAGAAGUGAAAUCCCUGCGCUCAACCUAGGAAUUGCUUUUAAAACUUCU